rnacentral:misc_RNA from 1 species
CGUAUGGAGUAUGACUUCAGCUCGGCUGGUGCCGAAGAGCGCGGCUAGGCGGCUUGGAUCAAGCGAGGGCGGGUUAGAGUAUUUUGUGUGUUUAAAUGGGCACUUGUACGGUACAUGUUGGCUUGUGCCGCUGUCUUCCGACGAAGAUAAUGGUGCAGCUGCAGAUGACGACAAGGACGACGACGAAGAUUCUAGUGAUGAUGAUCUGGACGACGACGGUGAAGAUUACGAUAAUCGGACGGUAGCGGAAGGCAGUUGGAGCUCGAUGGGUGAAG